UACGGAGGGGGCUAGCGUUGUUCGGAAUUACUGGGCGUAAAGCGCACGUAGGCGGCUUUGUAAGUUAGAGGUGAAAGCCCAGAGCUCAACUCUGGAACUGCCUUUAAGACUGCAUCGCUUGAAUCAUGGAGAGGUGAGUGGAACUGCGAGUGUAGAGGUGAAAUUCGUAGAUAUUCGCAAGAACACCAGUGGCGAAGGCGGCUCACUGGCCCGGUACUGACGCUGAGGUGCGAAAGCGUGGGGAGCAACAGG
rnacentral:rRNA from 1 species